rnacentral:lncRNA from 1 species
AGCGAAACGUGACAGAGAGCGAGUUUGGAAAUACAAGGAACACACUUCAAGCUUAAACUUUGAUACCAUCAUGUUUCCUGUGAAAUUAGCCGACAUACCCAAGUUCGAAAAGCAGAACACAAUAUCUGUCAACGUGUUUGGGUUUAACAAAGGCGAAGUAUUCCCUAUACACAUUUCAAAACAUCGAUUUGAACAGCAUGUUAAUCUACUCAUGAUAUCGGACAACAAGAAGUCACAUUUUGCUGGAUUAAGGAUCUUAAUCGGUUAUUAGGGGACCAGCAUAGCCAUCGCGCACGACAUUUUCACUGUCCAUACUGCUUACACGGAUUUACCAAAGAAAGAAUAUUAAGCAACCACCUACCAUACUGCCAGACCCACGGACCACAGAAAAUUGAACUCCCAACUGAAGAAAAUAAGUGGUUACAUUACAAAGAUAUUCGUAAACAACUUAAGGUGUCAUACAUUAUUUAUGCAGAUUUUGAAUGUCUUCAAGAACCAAUAGUUGAUAGUAACGAAUGUGAUCAAGAAGACGAAAAAGACUACGAAAACAUGUACCAUGUGGCUUUGCUUACAAAGUGGUAGGUCUGACACCUGAAACAUCAAAUGAACCAGUAGUUUAUCGGGGUGCUGAUGCUGCUGAUAAAUUUGUGGAGUGUAUGGUAAAGAACAGAAGAAAUAGAACAACGAUUUAAGCAUUGCGAACCCAUGAUCAUGACUGGGAGUGAUUGGCAAUCCUUUAAGAAGGCAACCAUUUGUCACAUAUGUAAAAAAGAACUAGCAGACAUUAGAGUACGAGAUCAUUGUCACGUGACUGGAAAAUUUAGAGGGGCAGCUCAUAACGACUGUAAUAUCAAUUAUAAGUUUACAGGUCGAAUUCCAGUUGUUUUUCAUAAUCUU